rnacentral:rRNA from 1 species
CCUACGGGAGGCAGCAGUAAGGAAUAUUGGUCAAUGGACGGAAGUCUGAACCAGCCAUGCCGCGUGCAGGAAGACGGCCCUACGGGUUGUAAACUGCUUUUGCAGGGGAAUAAACCUUUCUACGUGUAGAAAGUUGAAUGUACUCUGAGAAUAAGGAUCGGCUAACUCCGUGCCAGCAGCCGCGGUAAU